AACGCACGAGACCUGCGGACCUGCGGAAGGAUCAUUACCGAGUUAUACAACUCCCAAACCCACUGUGAACCUUACCUCAGUUGCCUCGGCGGGACCGCCCCGGCCGCCGCGCAAGCGGCGCCGGACUCCAAGGCGCCCGCCGCAGGGACCCAAAACUCUUUUGCAUUACGCCCAACGGCGGGAAUUUUUUCUCUGAGUGCAUAAGCAAAACAAAUGAAUCAAAACUUUCAACAAUGGAUC
rnacentral:misc_RNA from 1 species